UACAGAGGUCUCGAGCGUUAGGCGGAAUCACUGGGCUUAAAGCGCGUGUAGGCGGAUCGUUAAGUACCUUGUGAAAUCCCACGGCUUAACCGUGGAACGGCUGGGUAUACUGGCGGUCUUGAGCCACCUAGGGGCCUGCGGAACAAGCGGUGGAGCGGUGAAAUGCGUAGAUAUCGAGAGGAACACCUGAGGUGAAGACGGGUUGCUGGGCUGACACUGACGCUGAUGCGCGAAAGCCAGGGUAGCAAACGGG
rnacentral:rRNA from 1 species